rnacentral:rRNA from 1 species
GGGGAAUAUUGCGCAAUGGGCGAAAGCCUGACGCAGCGACGCCGCGUGAGGGAUGAAGGUUUUCGGAUCGUAAACCUCUGUCAGAAGGGAAGAAACUACGCUGUGCUAAUCAGCAGUGUACUGACGGUACCUUCAAAGGAAGCACCGGCUAACUCCGUGCCAGCAGCCGCGGUAAUACGGAGGGUGCAAGCGUUAAUCGGAAUUACUGGGCGUAAAGCGCACGUAGGCUGUAGUGUAAGUCAGGGGUGAAAUCCCACGGCUCAACCGUGGAACUGCCUUUGAUACUGCACAACUUGAAUCCGGGAGAGGGUGGCGGAAUUCCAGGUGUAGGAGUGAAAUCCGUAGAUAUCUGGAGGAACAUCAGUGGCGAAGGCGGCCACCUGGACCGGUAUUGACGCUGAGGUGCGAAAGCGUGGGGAGCAAAC